AUACGAAGGGGGCUAGCGUUGUUCGGAUUUACUGGGCGUAAAGCGUACGUAGGCGGACCGUUAAGUCGGAGGUGAAAUCCUGGGGCUCAACCCCAGAACUGCCUUCGAUACUGGCGGUCUCGAGUCCGGGAGAGGUGAGUGGAACUGCCAGUGUAGAGGUGAAAUUCGUAGAUAUUGGCAAGAACACCAGUGGCGAAGGCGGCUCACUGGCCCGGUACUGACGCUGAGGUACGAAAGCGUGGGGAGC
rnacentral:rRNA from 1 species